UUUUACAUUUUUUUUUUAUUUUUCUUUGUGCCUUCGGAUCUGAAUUACACCCUUACUUGACUUAUUCCGAAGGUCAAGUCCCUGGAAUCUGCUAAAGAGUUAUGAUCGAUCAGCUUGUGUAAUGUGGUUUAUAAGGUGAUAGCUAAGGGUUUGGUAAAUCGUCUGAAAGUCAUUUUUGAUAUAAUUAUCUCCCCUUGCGCCGAUUGCCUUUUUUCCAGGACGUUUUAUCACAAAUAAUGUUAUGGCAGCUUUCGAGAG
rnacentral:lncRNA from 1 species